rnacentral:rRNA from 1 species
GUACAGGAUGGACGCGCGUCUGAUUAGCUAGUUGGUAAGGUAACGGCUUACCAAGGCGACGAUCAGUAGCCGACCUGAGAGGGUGAUCGGCCACAUUGGAACUGAGACACGGUCCAAACUCCUACGGGAGGCAGCAGUGGGGAAUAUUGCACAAUGGGCGAAAGCCUGAUGCAGCAACGCCGCGUGAGCGAUGAAGGCCUUCGGGUCGUAAAACUCUGUCCUCAAGGAAGAUAAUGACGGUACUUGAGGAGGAAGCCCCGGCUAACUACGUGCCAGCAGCCGCGGUAAUACGUAGGGGGCUAGCGUUAUCCGGAUUUACUGGGCGUAAAGGGUGCGUAGGCGGUCUUUCAAGUCAGGAGUGAAAGGCUACGGCUCAACCGUAGUAAGCUCUUGAAACUGGGAGACUUGAGUGCAGGAGAGGAGAGUGGAAUUCCUAGUGUAGCGGUGAAAUGCGUAGAUAUUAGGAGGAACACCAGCUGCGAAGGCGGCUCUCUGGACUGUAACUGACGCUGAGGCACGAAAGCGUGGGGAGCAAACAGGAUUAGAUACCCUGGUAGUCCACGCUGUAAACGAUGAGUACUAGGUGUCGGGGGUUACCCCCUUCG